AUGGAUUUUAGAGCGCCAUUUUGAACGCAACGUCCAAACGAAGGGCUAUCACGAUUUGCGUUUGCUUCUUUGGACUCAAAACAGCUUUGAAACUCAUCCUGGACUGGUUCUUUAACAGCACCUGAGGGCGGGAGACAGCAGGUUAUGUGUCCAGGUCUUUCUCGCACACCUUCCUCGACCCCAUCACUCCCACCUGAGAAGUCUUCCAACCCUAGAAACUGCAAACAAUGACAGACCGACAACCUCUGACGUGUUUACGAUUGCAAAGCACUGU
rnacentral:lncRNA from 1 species